GACGGAGGAUGCAAGUGUUAUCCGGAAUCACUGGGCGUAAAGCGUCUGUAGGUGGUCAAAUAAGUCAACUGUUAAAUCUUGAGGCUCAACCUCAAAAUCGCAGUCGAAACUAUUAGACUAGAGUAUAGUAGGGGUAAAGGGAAUUUCCAGUGGAGCGGUGAAAUGCGUAGAGAUUGGAAAGAACACCGAUGGCGAAGGCACUUUACUGGGCUAUUACUAACACUCAGAGACGAAAGCUAGGGUAGCAAAUGGGG
rnacentral:rRNA from 1 species